rnacentral:rRNA from 1 species
GGGUUCUAUUCCCAAACCGUGUAUACAUUCCUUUGUUGCUUUGGCAGGCCGCCUUUUAGGCGUUGGCUCCGGCUGACUGCGCCUGCCAGAGGACCCAAACUCUUUUGUUUAGUGAUGUCUGAGUACUAUAUAAUAGUUAAAACUUUCAACAACGGAUCUCUUGGUUCUGGCAUCGAUGAAGAACGCAGCGAAAUGCGAUAAGUAAUGUGAAUUGCAGAAUUCAGUGAAUCAUCGAAUCUUUGAACGCACAUUGCGCCCCUUGGUAUUCCGAGGGGCAUGCCUGUUCGAGCGUCAUUAUAACCACUCAAGCCCUCGGCUUGGUCUUGGGGUUCGCGGUUUCGCGGCCCUUAAAAUCAGUGGCGGUGCCGUCUGGCUCUAAGCGUAGUAAUCCUCUCGCUAUAGGGUCCAGGUAACCACCUGUCAGAACCCCCCAUUCUUUAUGGUUGACCUCGGAUCAGGUAGGGAUACCCGCUGAACUUAAGCAUAUCAAUAAGCGGAGGAAAAGAAACCAACAGGGAUUGCCUCAGUAACGGCGAGUGAAGCGGCAACAGCUCAAAUUUGAAAUCUGGCUCUUUCAGGGUCCGAGUUGUAAUUUGUAGAAGAUGCUUUGGGUGUGGCUCCGGUCUAAGUUCCUUGGAACAGGACGUCAUAGAGGGUGAGAAUCCCGUACGUGACUGGGUGCCUUCGCUCAUGUAAAGCUCUUUCGACGAGUCGAGUUGUUUGGGAAUGCAGCUCAAAAUGGGUGGUAAAUUUCAUCUAAAGCUAAAUAUUGGCCAGAGACCGAUAGCGCACAAGUAGAGUGAUCGAAAGAUGAAAAGCACUUUGGAAAGAGAGUUAAACAGUACGUGAAAUUGUUGAAAGGGAAGCGCUUGCAACCAGACUUGCGCGCUGUUGAUCAUCCGAGCUUUUGCCCGGUGCACUC